ACGGAAGGCAGCAGUAAGGAAUCUUGCACAAUGGGGGAAACCCUGAUGCAGCAACGCCGCGUGGGUGAUGAAGGCCUUCGGGUUGUAAAACUCUGAUCUGGGGGAAGGAACAAAUGACGGUACCCCAGGAGAAAGCCCCGGCUAACUACGUGCCAGCAGCCGCGGUAAUACGUAGGGGGCAAGCGUUAUCCGGAAUUAUUGGGCGUAAAGAGUGCGUAGGUGGUUACCUAAGCGCAAGGUUUAAUCUUGAGGCUUAACCUCAUUCUGCCUUGCGAACUGGGCUACUUGAGUGCAGGAGGGGAAAGCGGAAUUCCUAGUGUAGCGGUGAAAUGCGUAGAUAUUAGGAAGAACACCAGUGGCGAAGGCGGUUAGCUGGACAAUAACUGACGCUGAGGCGCGAAAGCGUGGGUAGCAAACAGGAUUAGAUACCCUGGUA
rnacentral:rRNA from 1 species